GAUGAACGCUGGCGGCGUGCCUAAUACAUGCAAGUCGAGCGAACAGACGAGGAGCUUGCUCCUCUGACGUUAGCGGCGGACGGGUGAGUAACACGUGGAUAACCUACCUAUAAGACUGGGAUAACUUCGGGAAACCGGAUCUAAUACCGGAUAAUAUAUUGAACCGCAUGGUUCAAUAGUGAAAUACGGUUUUGCUGUCACUUAUAGAUGGAUCCGCGCCGCAUUAGCUAGUUGGUAAGGUAACGGCUUACCAAGGCAACGAUGCGUAGCCGACCUGAGAGGGUGAUCGUCGACACUGGAACUGAGACAGGGACCAGGCCCCGACGGGUGGCAGAAGCAGCGAAUGUUAAGAAAUGGGAGAAAGCGUGAGGGAGAAGCGGCGAGUGAGCGAGGAAGGUGUCGGGCUUGUAAUUGUCUGCUACUAGGGAACAAGAAAUGUCUAAGUGACUAUGAGCGUCUUGACGGUAGUUGAUGAGAAAGCAACGGCUAACUACGUG
rnacentral:rRNA from 1 species